CCCCCAUUCCCCCCCUUAAACUGAAUGAUGCAGCUCUAGAACCAGAAGUCCUGGGGAGAGAGGAUUCUCAUGGGAGCCAAAGACAGACUUGCCUAAGGACCACCGCAGCAGAGCAACGGCCCUUUACAUCCUGCUGGGGAGAAGCCAGAUGGAGACAACUUUGAUAAAAGGGCUCCGCUUGCAAGAAGCACUUUGUGAAAAUUUGAGUGGCCAAGCAAAGUGAUUAGAAUGAGGAAUGCAAAUAAGUCAGUUUAUGAGAAUGCAUUAACUCUGCUGAAUAGGGAGAGAAGGGAAAAUGCCUCUCCUUGAAGAUGCAGUCUACCUGCCACCAGUUUUGGAAACGUUUGGUUUAAAACUGUUAACUUUGUAAAUAGGAAUUCUCUGUUUUAUCAAUCAGAGGCACCCGAACAAAAUAUUUUAAAAUAAUUAAUCUGGCAAAUUCAUCAAUGAAGCAUUGCAGGCCUAGCUGGUACUAAGGCAUCAUAUUCUGUAGGGUACUCUACAGAUGAGGCAGGAACAGAACCAAUCUGAGGAUGCACAGACCACAGACUUUGCUGUGUGCACACACUGAAGCUGCUCAAUGAGAAAGAAAAGGGGGAGACUGGCCAACAGCAAAUAAUCGGUUUGGG